rnacentral:rRNA from 1 species
UACGGAGGAUCCGAGCGUUAUCCGGAUUUAUUGGGUUUAAAGGGUGCGUAGGUGGCCUGUUAAGUCAGGGGUGAAAGACGGUAGCUCAACUAUCGCAGUGCCCUUGAUACUGAUGGGCUUGAAUGAACUAGAGGUAGGCAGAAUGUGACAAGUAGCGGUGAAAUGCAUAGAUAUGUCACAGAACACCAAUUGCGAAGGCAGCUUACUAUGGUUUUAUUGACACUGAGGCACGAAAGCGUGGGGAUCAAACAGG